rnacentral:sRNA from 1 species
GCCGGGCAUGGUGGUGCACACCUGUAAUCCCAGUGGCUCAGGAGGCUGAGACAGGAGAAUCACGAGCUCAAAGGCAACCUCAACAACAGCAAGGCACUAAGCAACUCAGUGAGAACCUGUCUCUA